GCUUGGCCAUUUUCACCGAGAUUACACCGCCCUAGUUUAGUAGUGCCAUUAAUGUUAAUAGACAAGGAACAUGAUUUAAGCCUACUACCUUCACCGCAAACUCAGGCUUUAGAAGUCAACAUGAAUAGUAUUGGCGGAUGUAACCAAAUUUGGAUAAAGGGUGGUCCGUUGUUUCUCACCUUUGGUGUAGCCUAGAGGGUGGAGUUCAGAGGAAAAGGGUUAAUCAACGACGACGAGGAAGAGGAAAAGGAAAAGGGCUUUAUCUCUGUUUAGUACGGUUGUGGUUGGUCCUUUUAGCGCGUUAAAACAGAAGCUCCCGAAACAUCUUCAAAGGAAAGCAACGCGAAAGGAUCACAGGGUCUAUUUCAAAGUAAACACGCAACUUCGAAGACAGUAAAGUUAGGUCUGUAACAAAGAUCUCGUGAGAAACAUGAGGAUUCACUUGACAAGGACAUUUGUUUUCUACAUCUGCUCGUGGUUAUCUGCUCUAUCGUACUCUGCCAGUGUCCCAGAGGACCUGGACACAUCUGGAGAUGACCUGGAAUUCUCUGGUUCAGGCUCUGGUUUAGGACAGGAUGAUGUUGCUAAUAAUCAAGGAGGCACUGUCACUCUCACCAAUGUCACUGAAAUCUCCUGGAGAAAAGAUGCACCGCUCAGAACUACACAGCAGACUCCAAUUGCUGCCAGCACGCCGCCUAGCUCCGUCUCAUUAUUUCCAAUCACUAGAUUUACACCUCGCAUGGAAAGGUCCGAUUCAGAGGCACUGCCCUCUCAAACCACUAGUGUUGACCAUUAUGACAUUAUGGAAGGAAAAAACGCAACUACCCAGUCUGCUGAUGAAGUACCUCAAUCUGGGGGAGGGAUUACAGCUGUGUAUGUCAUUGAAGAAUAUACCACUGCCUUGGUAUCAGGCACUAAGGAAACAAUCACAGUUGUCACCACAACUUUGGAAGAGACCAUCAUAGAUUCUGAUGAUGAGGUGGAAGAUAAAACUAUGCCAACACCAGUGAUUGUAGAAGAAGAUGGGACCACAGUCCCAGAGGAUGUUUUUGAUGCAAUAACCAGCAAGCUCUUUGAUGACAGGACCCCAAUAACCCCCACCACAGACUCUGCUGGGGACACUAGUUCAGAAUGGGGGGGAUCACAUGAUGGUGUCAUGAGCACUUCUCCCACCAAGGACACCGACUCAAACUUUGUGGAGGAUAACAUUAUCCCAGAAGUCAGGAGUGGAGUUGACAUGGCAAAGCCUGUAAGCACAUCUUUCUUUUUUUAUUGUAAUUUAACACAUACUGAGGAAUUUCCCUGGGGAAAUUGA
rnacentral:lncRNA from 1 species